AUGGGCUGGGGUGGCGGCCAAGCAGCCAGAGUUGUUGCACGGAAGACCGCCUCGCUGGUGGAGCUCACCAGCUCCGUCAUGGAGCUUGGCGUCGUCGGAGGCCCGUUCAGCAACGUCGGCCUUCUCGAGCUCCUGCUGGUCGCCUCGACGCCCGAGGGCUCUGCCCUAGCUCCACCCGCCAGCGCGGUGGGUCGAGCUCCAGGAGAGGAAGAAGGCGCAUGCACGCGCCGGCGUCCGCUGGAUCCAACUCGACCUCCCCUCACCGUGCAGCUUGGCGGAGGAACUGCGCUAAUCUUCUUCUUGAUGCACGUGGGCAGCGUGUUCAUACAUGUUCGUCAGUCCGCCGCCGGUGGCGCCGAGGCUGUGCUCGACAUAAUAAUGCUGCUGAAGACCGACACAACAUGA
rnacentral:rRNA from 1 species